GAUGAACGCUGGCGGCGUGCCUAAUACAUGCAAGUCGAGCGAACAGAUGAGGAGCUUGCUCCUCUGACGUUAGCGGCGGACGGGUGAGUAACACGUGGAUAACCUACCUAUAAGACUGGGAUAACUUCGGGAAACCGGAGCUAAUACCGGAUAAUACAUUGAACCGCAUGGUUCAAUAGUGAAAGACGGUUUUGCUGUCACUUAUAGAUGGAUCCGCGCCGCAUUAGCUAGUUGGUAAGGUAACGGCUUACCAAGGCAACGAUGCGUAGCCGACCUGAGAGGGUGAUCGGCAACACUGGAACUGAGACACGGUCCAGACUCCUACGGGAGGCAGCAGUAGGGAAUCUGCCGCAAUGGGCGAAAGCCUGACGGAGCAACGCCGCGUGAGUGAUGAAGGUCUUCGGAUCGUAAAACUCGGUUAUUAGGGAAGAACAAAUGUGUAAGUAACUAUGCACGUCUUGACGGUACCUAAUCAGAAAGCCACGGCUAACUACGUG
rnacentral:rRNA from 1 species